rnacentral:rRNA from 1 species
UACGAAGGUGGCAAGCGUUGUUCGGAUUCAUUGGGCUUAAAGGGCACGCAGGCGGCCCAUCAAGUGUCUUGUGAAAUCCCUCGGCUCAACCGAGGAAUUGCUUGGCAAACUGGUGGGCUUGAGGUAGGUAGGGGCGCGCGGAACUCUUGGUGGAGCGGUGAAAUGCGUAGAUAUCAAGAGGAACGCCGGUGGUGAAGACGGCGCGCUGGGCCUGUCCUGACGCUGAGGUGCGAAAGCCAGGGGAGCAAACGGGAUUAGAUACCCCCGUA